AGAUUAAGUUAUUAAGGGCGCACGGUGGAUGCCUUGGCACUAGAAGCCGAUGAAGGACGUUACUAACGACGAUAUGCUUUGGGGAGCUGUAAGUAAGCUUUGAUCCAGAGAUUUCCGAAUGGGGAAACCCAGCAUGAGUUAUGUCAUGUUAUCGAUAUGUGAAUACAUAGCAUAUCAGAAGGCACACCCGGAGAACUGAAACAUCUUAGUACCCGGAGGAAGAGAAAGAAAAUUCGAUUCCCUUAGUAGCGGCGAGCGAAACGGGAAGAGCCCAAACCAACAAGCUUGCUUGUUGGGGUUGUAGGACACUCUAUACGGAGUUACAAAGGACGACAUUAGACGAAUCAUCUGGAAAGAUGAAUCAAAGAAGGUAAUAAUCCUGUAGUCGAAAAUGUUGUCUCUCUUGAGUGGAUCCUGAGUACGACGGAGCACGUGAAAUUCCGUCGGAAUCUGGGAGGACCAUCUCCUAAGGCUAAAUACUCUCUAGUGACCGAUAGUGAACCAGUACCGUGAGGGAAAGGUGAAAAGCACCCCGGAAGGGGAGUGAAAUAGAACCUGAAACCGUGUGCUUACAAGUAGUCAGAGCCCGUUAAUGGGUGAUGGCGUGCCUUUUGUAGAAUGAACCGGCGAGUUACGAUUUGAUGCAAGGUUAAGCAGUAAAUGUGGAGCCGUAGCGAAAGCGAGUCUGAAUAGGGCGUUUAGUAUUUGGUCGUAGACCCGAAACCAGGUGAUCUACCCUUGGUCAGGUUGAAGUUCAGGUAACACUGAAUGGAGGACCGAACCGACUUACGUUGAAAAGUGAGCGGAUGAACUGAGGGUAGCGGAGAAAUUCCAAUCGAACCUGGAGAUAGCUGGUUCUCUCCGAAAUAGCUUUAGGGCUAGCCUCAAGUGAUGAUUAUUGGAGGUAGAGCACUGUUUGGACGAGGGGCCCCUCUCGGGUUACCGAAUUCAGACAAACUCCGAAUGCCAAUUAAUUUAACUUGGGAGUCAGAACAUGGGUGAUAAGGUCCGUGUUCGAAAGGGAAACAGCCCAGACCACCAGCUAAGGUCCCAAAAUAUAUGUUAAGUGGAAAAGGAUGUGGCGUUGCCCAGACAACUAGGAUGUUGGCUUAGAAGCAGCCAUCAUUUAAAGAGUGCGUAAUAGCUCACUAGUCGAGUGACACUGCGCCGAAAAUGUACCGGGGCUAAACAUAUUACCGAAGCUGUGGAUUGUCCUUUGGACAAUGGUAGGAGAGCGUUCUAAGGGCGUUGAAGCAUGAUCGUAAGGACAUGUGGAGCGCUUAGAAGUGAGAAUGCCGGUGUGAGUAGCGAAAGACGGGUGAGAAUCCCGUCCACCGAUUGACUAAGGUUUCCAGAGGAAGGCUCGUCCGCUCUGGGUUAGUCGGGUCCUAAGCUGAGGCCGACAGGCGUAGGCGAUGGAUAACAGGUUGAUAUUCCUGUACCACCUAUAAUCGUUUUAAUCGAUGGGGGGACGCAGUAGGAUAGGCGAAGCGUGCGAUUGGAUUGCACGUCUAAGCAGUAAGGCUGAGUAUUAGGCAAAUCCGGUACUCGUUAAGGCUGAGCUGUGAUGGGGAGAAGACAUUGAGUCUUCGAGUCGUUGAUUUCACACUGCCGAGAAAAGCCUCUAGAUAGAAAAUAGGUGCCCGUACCGCAAACCGACACAGGUAGUCAAGAUGAGAAUUCUAAGGUGAGCGAGCGAACUCUCGUUAAGGAACUCGGCAAAAUGACCCCGUAACUUCGGGAGAAGGGGUGCUCUUUAGGGUUAACGCCCAGAAGAGCCGCAGUGAAUAGGCCCAAGCGACUGUUUAUCAAAAACACAGGUCUCUGCUAAACCGUAAGGUGAUGUAUAGGGGCUGACGCCUGCCCGGUGCUGGAAGGUUAAGAGGAGUGGUUAGCUUCUGCGAAGCUACGAAUCGAAGCCCCAGUAAACGGCGGCCGUAACUAUAACGGUCCUAAGGUAGCGAAAUUCCUUGUCGGGUAAGUUCCGACCCGCACGAAAGGCGUAACGAUUUGGGCACUGUCUCAACGAGAGACUCGGUGAAAUCAUAGUACCUGUGAAGAUGCAGGUUACCCGCGACAGGACGGAAAGACCCCGUGGAGCUUUACUGUAGCCUGAUAUUGAAAUUCGGCACAGCUUGUACAGGAUAGGUAGGAGCCUUUGAAACGUGAGCGCUAGCUUACGUGGAGGCGCUGGUGGGAUACUACCCUAGCUGUGUUGGCUUUCUAACCCGCACCACUUAUCGUGGUGGGAGACAGUGUCAAGCGGGCAGUUUGACUGGGGCGGUCGCCUCCUAAAAGGUAACGGAGGCGCUCAAAGGUUCCCUCAGAAUGGUUGGAAAUCAUUCAUAGAGUGUAAAGGCAUAAGGGAGCUUGACUGCGAGACCUACAAGUCGAGCAGGGUCGAAAGACGGACUUAGUGAUCCGGUGGUUCCGCAUGGAAGGGCCAUCGCUCAACGGAUAAAAGCUACCCCGGGGAUAACAGGCUUAUCUCCCCCAAGAGUUCACAUCGACGGGGAGGUUUGGCACCUCGAUGUCGGCUCAUCGCAUCCUGGGGCUGUAGUCGGUCCCAAGGGUUGGGCUGUUCGCCCAUUAAAGCGGUACGCGAGCUGGGUUCAGAACGUCGUGAGACAGUUCGGUCCCUAUCCGUCGUGGGCGUAGGAAAUUUGAGAGGAGCUGUCCUUAGUACGAGAGGACCGGGAUGGACAUACCUCUGGUGUAC
rnacentral:rRNA from 1 species